AUUGAACGCUGGCGGCAGGCCUAACACAUGCAAGUCGAGCGGAUGAAGGGAGCUUGCUCCUGGAUUCAGCGGCGGACGGGUGAGUAAUGCCUAGGAAUCUGCCUGGUCGUGGGGGAUAACGUCCGGAAACGGGCGCUAAUACCGCAUACGUCCUGAGGGAGAAAGUGGGGGAUCUUCGGACCUCACGCUAUCAGAUGAGCCUAGGUCGGAUUAGCUAGUUGGUGGGGUAAAGGCCUACCAAGGCGACGAUCCGUAACUGGUCUGAGAGGAUGAUCAGUCACACUGGAACUGAGACACGGUCCAGACUCCUACGGGAGGCAGCAGUGGGGAAUAUUGGACAAUGGGCGAAAGCCUGAUCCAGCCAUGCCGCGUGUGUGAAGAAGGUCUUCGGAUUGUAAAGCACUUUAAGUUGGGAGGAAGGGCAGUAAGUGAAUACCUGGCUGUUUUGACGUUACCAACAGAAUAAGCACCGGCUAACUUCGUG
rnacentral:rRNA from 1 species